rnacentral:tRNA from 1 species
AGGCCGUUAGCUCAGUUUGGCAGAGCAGCUGACUCUUAAUCAGCGGGUCGUCGGUUCGAUCCCGACACGGCCUACCA